CGGGGUGUGGCGCAGUUGGCUAGCGCACUAGCAUGGGGUGCUAGGGGUCGCCAGUUCGAGCCUGGCCACCCCGA
rnacentral:tRNA from 1 species